CGCGUAGGCGGUCCGGCAAGUCAGUUGUGAAAUCCCCUGGCUCACCCAGGGAACUGCUUCUGAAACUGCCAGACUUGAGUCCGGGAGAGGAGAGUGGAAUUCCCAGUGUAGCGGUGGAAUGCGUAGAUAUUGGGAGGAACACCGGUGGCGAAGGCGGCUCUCUGGACCGGUACUGACGCUGAGGCGCGAAAGCUAGGGGAGCAAACAGGAUUAGAUACCCUGGUAGUCCUAGCUGUAAACGAUGGGCACUUGGUGUUGCGGGUAUUGACCCCUGCAGUGCCGAAGCUAACGCAUUAAGUGCCCCGCCUGGGGAGUACGGUCGCAAGGCUGAA
rnacentral:rRNA from 1 species